GUUAACUGACUUUUUCACUCUUUGUCUAUACAGAUCAUUUUUCCAGAGUCUUUGUGUGUUGGGGUACUGUAUUCUCCCUCUGACUGUGGCCAUGAUAGUGUGUCGUAUAGUUCUCCUGGGAGGCUCAGGCCUCGUCAGUUUUGUAGUCCGUCUCAUAGUUGUCACCGCCUCCUUCAGCUGGUCAACGUUUGCCUCCACAGCAUUUCUUGCAGACAGCCAACCACCCAAUAGGAAAGCCCUGGUCGUGUAUCCAGUGUUCCUCUUCUACUUUGUGAUUGGCUGGAUGAUUUUGACAUUUUCGCCUUCUCAUUAGCAUAUAUACACCCUCUGCCAAUUGGAAAAUGAACACCUCCCCUUUGCUAAGACAACCAGCAGACUGUCUGGGAGCUGGCUAGUGAUUGGCCUAGCCUAAAAAAAGGUGGAACACUUUGAUGGACACUCAUAAAGGGACAACCCGAGGGCAGUAAGUGGAUUAUUGCAUAGAUAUCACUCCUCCCCAUCCCUCAUUCAGUUGAAUAAGUGGAGAGAAAAGGAGUGGAGGACAUUAAUUCUUCAGUGCUACUAAUUUAACAACAGCCUACAUGUCUUCAUUAUAUGAAUGUUUUGUUGUGUGAGGAACAUUAGUGCCCUUCUGAGCAGUUCCAGAUGUACUCACACCCCUAACGUGGAGGCGUAGGAUUAUCAUGAUCUGUGUGUCUUCAUGUGUGGAUGUGCUUACUCAAGCAUAGUAUGUGACUAUGUGAGGGUGCAUGUAUUUGUUAUUUUAUCUGAUUGAGCAUUGUCUCUGUUGGAAAAAUUCAGCUAUCAUCAGGCCACACAUCAGUCUCCUCACAUUGCUACACACGUUUCUUUUCUUUGUUUUUUUUCUUUUUAGUAGUGAAUGAUGUUUGGGCUACAUUACAUUUAUUUUUCAUUCGUGGAAGUUAGUAUAUUCCAGAAGGAAAUAAACAUGGACUUUAAUAAGCGCUGCA